rnacentral:rRNA from 1 species
AUUGAACGCUGGCGGCAGGCCUAACACAUGCAAGUCGGGCGAGUGGCGGACGGGUGAGUAAUGUCUGGGGAUCUGCCUGAUGGCGGGGGAUAACUACUGGAAACGGUAGCUAAUACCGCAUACCAUCCGAUGACCCCAGAUGGGAUUAGCUAGUUGGUGGGGUAACGGCUCACCUAGGCGACGAUCCCUAGCUGGUCUGAGAGGAUGAUCAGCCACACUGGGACUGAGACACGGUCCAGACUCCUACGGGAGGCAGCAGUGGGGAAUAUUGCACAAUGGGCGCAAGCCUGAUGCAGCCAUGCCGCGUGUAUGAAGAAGGCCUUCGGGUUGUAAAGUACUUUCAGCGGGGAGGCGUUACCGACAGAAGAAGCACCGGCUAACUCCGUGCCAGCAGCCGCGGUAAUAC